ACGGGAGGAGCCACUGGGGCGGGGCCGCAGUCAGGGUGGCCCCCUGGAGGCAGGCUCUCAGGCCACGGUCUCCACCAGAGCAGUGCGGUGCGGUGACCAUGGCGUCCCCGAGCUCACAUGCACACCUGGGGCUGCUGCCUCCCCCCCACAGGCUGAUGAGAGGCAGAUUCCACAUGAGAGAAAACACAAACCACUGAAUUCCAGCAACUGCCCAGGCCUGGCUGCCUCCUGUCUGACCGCUCGCUCGGAUCCUGUGUUACGCCGCCAGACCCCGACUUCUCAGCGAUGGAGUACAGCAGAAAUCCGGCCUUCAUGCUCUCCACGGUUUGGGUGGACCCUUUGCUAGUAUGACUACCCUUUUGUUUUUAGAAGUUAAAAUGUUUUUAAUGCACAAAAUGCCAGGAUUACAAAGGAAAAACAAUAUAUUCAGACAAUAAUUAAAAUAUUA